AGUGAAACUCUGGACCAAUCGGUUGCCUUUAUAUCAUAAACCACAUUUAGCUAACACAUAAAAUGGUUGUUUUUCUCAGUCUGGAAAGCUCAUAUUGGUUUUUAGGGCUGUCAAUCAAUUAAAACAUUUUAAUCGAGCAAUUCCAAGAUGUGUUGAUUGAAGUAUAUAACUUUUUCAGUGUUCAAAUAUUUUUCUUUACUAUCCCAGCUAAAUAUGCACAGACAACUAUGCCUAAGCCAUUCAUAGGUUAAUUUUCUCGAAAAAUGUAAACACUGUCUCUGCUGCGCUAAAAAAAUUCCUGUUUGUUUUGAGCAUCCUUCUUAGACCUGCCACAAUAACAUUACUCAAUCAAUGGUGUGAGUUGGGGGCGAGACCAAAUUUGCUCUUUCAAGGUAGUUAGGCAGGACUGAUUUUCAGAAGAAACAGGAACAAGAACGCAUUCUUAGCAUAACACCCACUGUUUAUUUUUGCAAUUCCAUUUGGUGGCACUAGUGUCGCAGAAAUACUUCAUACAUACUUCAGCUGUAAUCGAAUUAAUCACAUACCAGUAAUUACUGAGAAAGGUGCCCAAAUAAAGAUAAUUUAGAAUAUAGUUUUUUAAAUAAUUCUAAGCAUAAUCUUGUACAAAUGCUUCUAUACAAACACAUAGAGACAUUUGUACAAGAUUAUGUUAAAGCUAAACUUUUUUUUGUAAAAAGAAAAUAACAAAAAUGUUAUUAAUGAGAGAGUGCAACAAAAAUCCAUCUUCCAAACCAUGUCUUUACGCAAAUACACUUUGAUAAACCUAUAAUAAUGAUAUUAUAUUAUAAAUAUUAUAGAGCUGUUGGGACGGAUUUCGCGGGAAAUUGCAUACAUAUGUAACUCGCCCGUGCGUGUUCACGUCAUAUCCGUACACAGAGAAAAUAAGAUCUGGCUACUAUAGCUUGUGUGUGGGAGUAGCUGAAGCUGAAAGUUUGUUGUCACAAUGAACGAGAAAAAUUGAUCAUUCAAAACGGCAGAAUCACUUUGUAAAGACAAAGAAACUCUGAACAGAGCAGAGUCUACAAGCAAAAGGGGAAAGCAACAGAGUCCGUAAUAAAACCCAAAUCAUUAUCGGCUUGGAUUUUCAGAGGUGGCGACAACUCCGAGAUCUGAAAGGAUUUAAAAGUGACCUAGAGAUGGCUUUUUUCUUAUUCAGCAGGUAAGAUAUUUUAUUGAUAUGGUUUAUGAAUUGUUGUGUAAUCACACACACACGUCUGUGUGUGUGAUUUGCACUGAUAAGAUGUCCUGUAUUCAUGUGUACACCAGUGCCUCUAACCACGUUCAUUUGCGCAGAGGAGCAGAGCCGAAGCACAACCAAAACAAUGUUCUUCUGCAAGACACAUGCAGUUUUAUUUUUUAACUGCUAGAGGGCCAAAAGUUACAUAGUGUAACUUAUGUUAAUAACUACACCGAUCAGCCACAUUAACAUCCUUUUAUCUACACAAUAUCUUGACAUAUCUUUAUAUGUUGACAUUCUAGUUAAUUUUAGUGAUGGAUACAUUAUAAUUGUUUUUAAAUCAUGUACUAUUAUGUGACGAUCCAUACACGGAAGGAAACCUCAGAAUCAGCAUCAGUAGUCUGUCAUUUUUUCAAGAUCAAUCUGCCCAUUUCCACUCUGCUGCUGAUGAGUUUGACUUUCCCACCCGGGCAUGAUGGCGUGAAGUUCACACUGUGCACAGCAUAUGAACAGAAUGGGAGAAAUUCAUCUUUGGUUUGUCACCACUUAAGAGUUUUCUCGUCCAAACCAAUCAGUACUUCUGACUCCCUACUGACUCGAGCAAUGUCUGUGACCAAACAGCGUGUGGGUACUUUCAAGACUACAGGUGUGUUUAAGACUCAUCUUGACAGAUUUCACUUCAGUCCCAAAGAAACCGAAUAGGUCUAUGCAGAAUUUAAAAGAAUUUCUGGAAUUGAUCUGCACAACAAGUCUAUGUUGAAUUUAAAAGAAUUAUUGGAAUUGAUCUGCACUCGACUUUUCACAGUCCUGGAGGGCAAUGCCAAAUGUCUGAUUAGGAUGUAUCACUCCGAAAGAGGUCAUGUUGAAGAUGAGUUGAAAGCCCUAUUAACAUGUGUAGAUGAGCAGACCACAGACAUGACCAUGCAUCGAAGGUCAGCAGCACUCGGAGAUCUUCAGUUUUAUAUUCGGGAAUACGUACCAGUUGUUAAGAACUUUCAGACAGGCAGACCAGAAGGAUUCAUGUUGGUUUCAUUGAGACUUCAGGAGAUCUGUGUGAAUUCCUGGGUGCAGUGGUGGACGUGCCUGUAGUGCUGGAGGAAGAAGUUGUCAUGAACAGCCUUCCAAACAUUACGACUGCCUUUGGAGUGCUCUUUGGCCUGCUUUGCUUUCUCUAUAUUGAGUACCCUAAACAGUGUAAGUAACUUUUUGAGGCUGUGUUUGAAGUCUUUCUGGGUCUUGACAGUACAAAAUGUUCAACUUGUAUUUAGUCACUGAGAACCAGAAUGUUGCUGGCAUAGACAGACAAUUGGCUCCUCCACUAGUAGCUGAUCUAGUUUAGAGGCCAAAUUCAAGUGUCAUGAUGUCAAGUACUGUCAUCUGCUUGAUGUUUAUCUGCUUGUGUUUCUUUCGUAUUUAUUUAUUUAUUUUUGCUACACAGUUGUUGACAACAUUUAAGUUAUUAAUAAAAUACAGUGAUUCAGCUUUCUUAAGUUAUUCUUAAUGUUAAUUUGAGUGUGGUAGAAAUUCUAAAUGUUUCCAUCCAAGUUGCAAAUUUAAUUUAUGCGAAAAGACUUAAAACAAAAAUAAUUUGCGAAUAAAGUUGUGUUUUCAUCCCAUGUGUUUAAAAGAACAAAAUUGCAACUUCUGGAUAAAUUGUAAAUAAAAUACACGUGGUAUAGCGCACACAGACAAAACACUGUAAAGAAAUUUGUCUCAUGUCUGGGAGCACUAUGUGUGUGCGUUCCUCCAUCCUUAUGUUUUUACCAUGCGGAUCUAUAAGGUAUUUUUCAAAAGUGUCAAUAAACCUGCUCUAUGGCACAGUUCAAGCUUGUAUUCGGAAU